GCGCAGCACUGAAAGAUGCAAGUGACAUCGUGAAAAGAAUACAGAAAAGAGAUUUGUACAAGUGUGUUAGCAAACACAUUGUGAAGGAGGAUUUUAAUCGAAAAAUGAUUCCACAAAUUAAACAAGAAGUUCUAAAAACAGGCUGGGAAAAAGACAUUUGAUGAACAGCAGUUUGAAAUCAUUGUGGUGUCUUUUGAUUAUGGACGAGGAAACGCUGACCCAGUAGCAAAUGUUCCUUUUUAUAGGAAAUCCGACGUUCAGAAAGCUAUCUAUCUGACGGAAGAAGAGAAACCACAGAUGCUGCCAAGAACAUUUCGAGAAUGUGCAGUUGCUGCUUAUUCCAAACACAGACAGUUCGAUGAUGAUCUCAAAAGCUGCUUUGAUCAAUGGUUCACCGAGGAAUAUUCAAAGAACCAAAGCAGAUAUGCCACUGGGCAAGUUCGAACCUUCAAGGAACUAAAACACCAAUGACUUUGCAUCAUAAUCCUGCAUCGAAAGAGGAUUUAUUUGAUCUUGCAGUCACCAAACGUGGAAGAAAUGCGUGCCAAUCUCAAUAGCCUAACAUGUAACUUAAUCUUCACCGAUAUGUUCCAUGAUUAUACAUUAACUCUGUAAUGAUGAUGUAAUAUACGACCUUUGGUUUAGUUUUCAGUUUACAUGAGUGACGGGUGUGGUUGUGUCGCUUAAUAGUGAAAGCCUUUGCCCAGGGUGUUCGAGUUUCCAAGUUGGUGAAACAUGUAUGAAGACAACAUCUGGCGUCCUGUAGUUAUAUAUGACUGAAACAUUGUUCAACAAACGCAAAUAACGACCAAGCAUAUAUGUGAACACUUCUGGUACUAGUCGUAAUGACAUGAAUAUCAGAUUAACAGACUAAUCUAGAUUUGUAUUGUUCUUUUAGAACAGUGUAAGUAUCAUUAUGACUUUCAGUUUUAUACGAGAGCUGCUACACUUGUACAAAUCCGAAAACACAAUGGUACUGUUACGUUGAUCAUGGCUGAAGUAGUCCCACUGAAAACAGCAUCAUUCCGUUAGGAUGCAAUAUCUACAGUUUCAUUUGCACAGAUAGAUCAUAACAUCUCACCUGUAUCAGUCAGAAUCCAACCUGUAUACCCCAUGUGGUACCGCACAGACAUCAAACAAGAAAAGCCUUUCAAAAAGGCACCUGGGUAAAUAAAUACAUUUUGUGAGACGGACGUGAGAUUUGGGGAGUAAAGCUGAUUCAGCUGAUUUCAAGAAAUAUCACGAUGACCAUACCUCCGUCAGUUAGAGAGUUGCUUCUGUUAGAGAUCGGUACUUGCAUCGCAAAUACGGUACUCUUAUCUCCAGUAUUUGACAUUUCAUAUCAAAGGUCUUUGUCAUGUGUAACCAUGUCUUAGAUCACAUACACUAACGCUAUGGAGCACCUCUAUAGGCCGCGAUGGCCGCACUUCAAUGGGCCGCACCUCUAUAGGCCGCAAUCCUUUGUUGCACUUUCGCGCACCCGUUGCGAUUAUUGCGCACGAAAAACCUAUAUGAUUGACUUCAUUGUACUUAUACCUACAAGUGCGCACUGUUUCUCUCGCAUGUCAGCGGCGUCAUUUUUAAUCACGAGACCAUUGACGAGCGAGGAUUCCCUGUCUGAAAUAGUAACAUACUUGAGCGUUAUAUAACUGAUGUAUGUGGCGGCUAUGUAUCCAGGAAAACCUAAUGGGUGCAACUAAAAUGGAAUGGGUUUUCCGAUUCUGCGAUGUGUAUCAUUUUAUUAACGUUUUCGAUCAGUAAAAGCACUGUUUAAAUUAGAGAUUUAUAUAAAACUAGAUUUCCGCAUAAAAGUGGGACAGUUUUUUUCGAAUUACCCAAAUGGUCACGUGGCUCCUAAUUUACUACAGCUAUGUUCAUUGGUUAUUUGGAAUGAAUUGCCAAAAUACAAAGGGACUAAGUAUCAUUGGCUCGAAGAUAUUUUGAAUAUUCCAAGUGUAUAUAUAGAGAGGAAUUUCACCUGAGAGAAAAUUCAGCCUGAUUAUAGGGUUGGAUGCGUUUGCCCCUCCGAAUAAUAACCUUAUCUCAAUCUGGACAUUGCAUGCUUCAUGUUUUUGCCUCAUGUGUUACUCUUUUUGUUGUUGUGUUAAACUUUGUUUUUAACGCUGUAUAAUCCUGUCUUUUCCAGUUGUUGAUUGCUUGAUAGCACUUGUAUCUAGACGCAAUCCUUUAAUAAAAGCAUUGGAACUCCAAAAA